rnacentral:rRNA from 1 species
CCUACGGGAGGCAGCAGUGAGGAAUAUUGGUCAAUGGACGAGAGUCUGAACCAGCCAAGUAGCGUGAAGGAUGACUGCCCUAUGGGUUGUAAACCUCUUUUAUAAAGGAAUAAAACGAGCCACGUGUGCCUUUUUGCAUGUACUUUAUGAAUAAGGAUCGGCUAACUCCGUGCCAGCAGACGCGGUAAUACGGAGGAUCCGAGCGUUAUCCGGAUUUAUUGGGUUUAAAGGGAGCGUAGAUGGGUUGUUAAGUCAGUUGUUAAAGUUUGCGGCUCAACCGUAAAAUUGCAAUUGAUACUGGCAGUCUUGAGGACAGUUGAGGUAUGCGGAAGUCGUGGUGUAGCGGUGAAAUGCUUAGAUAUCACGAAGAACUCCGAUUGCGAAGGCAGCUUACUAAACUUCCACUGACAUUGAUGCUCGAAAGUGUGGGUAUCAAACAGGAUUAGAUACCCUAGUAGUC